CAUUUUCUUCAGAUUUUCCUUGGUGGUCUUCUGAUUGAUUUGGAAGGAAGAAUUGUUGGUAUGAAUUUCAUAGACGAGAAUAAAACUCCCUUUUUGCCCGUCCAGAUUGUUGGGAGAUGCCUGAAACACUUCAGAAAUUUGGGACACUUCUUUCCUGUAUAUGGGACGAUUGCUUGAAGGAUUUGGUGUUGGUGUCAUAUCCUACACGUUUUGACAGGUGAAUAGAUGGACAGUGGCUGCUCCUUGCUGAUCAAUUCAAAAUUGCUCUGGCUAUCAAUUCAAGCUUGCUAUGACUGGUGAGAAGACGUCCUGGUCAAUCUAC